rnacentral:rRNA from 1 species
GAUGAACGCUGGCGGCGUGCCUAACACAUGCAAGUCGAGCGAGGGUUUGCUCAGUAUUGAGUAUUCUAAAACUAGAAUGUUCAAUUCUGAGCAAAACCAAGCGGCGGACGGGUGAGUAACGCGUGGGUAACCUGCCCUAUACACAUGGAUAACAUACUGAAAAGUUUACUAAUACAUGAUAAUAUAUAUUUGCGGCAUCGCAGAUAUAUCAAAGUGUUAGCGGUAUAGGAUGGACCCGCGUCUGAUUAGCUAGUUGGUGAGAUAACUGCCCACCAAGGCGACGAUCAGUAGCCGACCUGAGAGGGUGAUCGGCCACAUUGGAACUGAGACACGGUCCAAACUCCUACGGGAGGCAGCAGUGGGGAAUAUUGCACAAUGGGCGAAAGCCUGAUGCAGCAACGCCGCGUGAACGAUGAAGGUCUUCGGAUCGUAAAGUUCUGUUGCAGGGGAAGAUAAUGACGGUACCCUGUGAGGAAGCCCC